rnacentral:tRNA from 1 species
CGGGGUGUGGCUCAGUUUGGUAGAGCGCACCGUUCGGGACGGUGAGGUCGCGUGUUCAAAUCCCGUCACCCCGACCA